GAAAAAAAUUCCACUCUGCAUACAGAACUGCUUCUAUGAUCUCAGUCUAUUAAGACUAAAGGAUAAAUACUUUCAUUCAUCAAGUUCAGGAAUAAUCAAACACCAAUUGUUAUGGAAACCCUAUAUCCAGGAACAUUGCAAGCAGGCUGGUGCACAUCCCAGUGAGGAACACUGAAAGGUGGACAGCAUUGAAGACCCUGCCAGACCCCAAAGCAAUACUAAAGCAGCUCUGUUAACAGAUUUCUGUACUCUGGUGCACAGGCAGAAAUGUCAGUCUGUACUUAAGCUUGUAUGAAAGGACUAAGAGGAUUCCCCUGGAACUUCCCUCCUCAUUAACAUACAAACACUUGGCAGAACAGUAUCUAAAUAAAGACUCAUUAUCAUCAA